AUGAUCUCACCUCUGUCUGUACAUUUCUAUUGUUGAGGGGGCCCCUGAAAGAAGACAAUUGCCUGUCCAGGUCAGCCAUUUGAAGCAGCUGUAGUUCCCAAAGAAGAGGCCCAAACACUAAGACACUAAGCAAUGUCCCUCCGAGGUCUUCGCUUCAGUUCCUGCCUCCAGCUUCCUGCCUUGGGUUCCCGCCUCGGUUUCCUUUGAUGAAGGACUUUAAUCUGGAAGCCACAUAAAUUCUUUUCUCCCCCAAGUUGCUUUUCAUCAGCAUUUUAUCACAGCAACAGAAAGCAAACUAGGAAAGAAAUUAGAACCCUGAGCUGGGUAUUGCUGUGAUGGACCGGACCAUAUCAUUUGCAGUUGGGAAUAGGAAUGAGCUUCAUUUGUAAACGUUGGAUUUCUGGGAAGAGAGUUUUAUGUAGACCUUGGUGAAUUCAAGAAUUCAUGAACUGCUUUUACCUCACCAUCACCGAAAUGUUGUCACUUGGAUUUUCUCUGACUUGCCUGCCACUCUCCAGUGCUGUGACUGCACUGAAAGAAGCCAUAGAAAACCCAUAGGAGACACGGAACGCGGACUAAAAGGAAGGAAAAGGUGCAAUAUUUCCUGGGCACUCAGGUCAUCUUCUCAGGCAUCGUGUCAGAGAUGAAAAGUGACUGGCCCACCGAGUCCAUCUUCUGCAUCCAGUGUCUGAAACUGGCUGGAGUCAAUCUCACAUGAAGAUAGGACCUGAAGAUGCCCGUGCUUCAGACUUGCAGCAGGAAGUCUCCGGCCAUGCUUCCUUCUGGAGACCUCUGAGUUAAGGCUGUGCAGGGCAGAGCUACGGACAGCCAGGCUGGGGGAAGAGGCUUUGGUCUCACUGCAGUCAUGGUCAGCAGCAAAUGUGACGGGAAGAGCGGCUGAGACUUCCUUGGAUUUUAGGAGCCCGGCGCACCUGGCCGAACUGUUUUUCUUCUCAUUAAACUCCGCUUUGCAGAGCUCAUGGGCAGGCCCUCUGUGGUCUGGGGAUGGGGCACGGUUUAGACAAGGAGUCACUUCUUCCCACGCUGUGGGGGAGGGAUCCCAAGCUGCCUUAGAACGAUGAAAGUCUGAGCAACUCGCCUAGUCCCUGGCUUAGGAGGGGUCACUCGGGCAAGUUGAGCUCUGAAAAGGCAGGGGGCUGUCUGCCCUUGGAAGGUGGGUCUAGCCACCAAGAAGACCCCAGCUUGAAAAGUUCCCAACCCUCACCAGUGAGUUUUCUCCAGUGUCCUCAUAAAACUCAAACUACAAAAAGAUGGUGGUGGGUCCGACGCUGUUGCACACGCAGGACAAACAUUUAUCAUGCUGAAGGCCAGGCAGGCCGUGGUUUUGAUCUCUUGUUUACAUAGCCUUAUGCUCUGCAGUAUUCCAAGGAAUCUGUGUCCCAGGCCGCUGUGGAGACCUCCUGGGGCCAGCCUCUCCUCCUCUGCCUGUUCUGCCAUGUAUGUUUUUGCAGCUUUUCCAGCCUCUGCUCACGUGACUGUGGCCCUUGCUCAUGCCUGCCGGGAUUCAAGUGCACUUGCUAGAAGAGGGGGCAGAGCCUCACAUCUGUGCCCAGCAGGAAGCAAAUGCCGCUCACCCCAGCACAGCUUCCUCCAUUCUAAACAUAAUCCCAGGUUGAAAAAAUUGAAACCCUUUCCAAGAGGAAAGUGCAGACCCUGAAGCUGCCAGCUUCACCAGGCCAAGGACAUGGACAUAUCCAAGAAUAUUGCUGUGCUGUGGUAGGGUGAUAGAGGCAAAGAGGCCGCAAAGGGUAGUUUUAAAGGUCCUUAUGGUGGCUUGAAUGAGAAUGGCCCCCACAGGCUCAUAUGUUUGAAUACUUGGGCCCUAGUUGGUGGAACUUUUGGGGAAGGAUUAGGAGGCAUGGCUUUAUUAGAAAAGGUGUGUCAU